UGGGAAUUUUGGACAAUGGGCGAAAGCCUGAUCCAGCAAUGCCGCGUGUGUGAAGAAGGCCUUCGGGUUGUAAAGCACUUUUGUCCGGAAAGAAAUCCUUGGCUCUAAUACAGUCGGGGGAUGACGGUACCGGAAGAAUAAGCACCGGCUAACUACGUGCCAGCAGCCGCGGUAAUACGUAGGGUGCAAGCGUUAAUCGGAAUUACUGGGCGUAAAGCGUGCGCAGGCGGUUUGCUAAGACCGAUGUGAAAUCCCCGGGCUCAACCUGGGAACUGCAUUGGUGACUGGCAGGCUAGAGUAUGGCAGAGGGGGGUAGAAUUCCACGUGUAGCAGUGAAAUGCGUAGAGAUGUGGAGGAAUACCGAUGGCGAAGGCAGCCCCCUGGGCCAAUACUGACGCUCAUGCACGAAAGCGUGGGGAGCAAACAGGAUUAGAUACCCUGGUAGUCCACGCCCUAAACGAUGUCAACUAGUUGUUGGGGAUUCAUUUCCUUAGUAACGUAGCUAACGCGUGAAGUUGACCGCCUGGGGAGUACGGUCGCAAGAUUAAAACUUAAAGGAAUUGAC
rnacentral:rRNA from 1 species